CCUACGGGGGGCUGCAGUGGGGAAUAUUGCACAAUGGGCGAAAGCCUGAUGCAGCAACGCCGCGUGAGUGAUGAAGGCCUUCGGGUUGUAAAGCUCUGUCUUUUGGGACGAUAAUGACGGUACCAAAGGAGGAAGCCACGGCUAACUACGUGCCAGCAGCCGCGGUAAUACGUAGGUGGCAAGCGUUGUCCGGAUUUACUGGGCGUAAAGGGUGCGUAGGUGGAUGUUUAAGUCAGAUGUGAAACCCCUGGGCUCAACCCAGGACCUGCAUUUGAAACUGGAUAUCUAGAGUGCGGGAGAGGUAAGUGGAAUUCCUAGUGUAGCGGUGAAAUGCGUAGAGAUUAGGAAGAACACCAGUGGCGAAGGCGACUUACUGGACCGUAACUGACACUGAGGCACGAAAGCGUGGGUAGCAAACAGGAUUAGAUACCCUGGUAGUCAA
rnacentral:rRNA from 1 species